ACGCGCGGAACCUUACCAGGUCUUGACAUCCUCUGACACUCCUAGAGAUAGGACGUUCCCCUUCGGGGGACAGAGUGACAGGUGGUGCAUGGUUGUCGUCAGCUCGUGUCGUGAGAUGUUGGGUUAAGUCCCGCAACGAGCGCAACCCUUGAUCUUAGUUGCCAGCAUUUCGGAUGGGCACUCUAAGGUGACUGCCGGUGACAAACCGGAGGAAGGUGGGGAUGACGUCAAAUCAUCAUGCCCCUUAUGACCUGGGCUACACACGUGCUACAAUGGAUGGUACAAAGGGCAGCAAAACCGCGAGGUCGAGCAAAUCCCAUAAAACCAUUCUCAGUUCGGAUUGUAGGCUGCAACUCGCCUGCAUGAAGCUGGAAUCGCUAGUAAUCGCGGAUCAGCAUGCCGCGGUGAAUACGUUCCCGGGCCUUGCACACACCGCCCGU
rnacentral:rRNA from 1 species